rnacentral:rRNA from 1 species
CAAAAACAUGUCCUUUUGUUUUCUAAAUAUAAGGUCUAACCUGCCCAAUGACUAUUGUUGUUGAAUGGCCGCGGUAUUUUAACUGUGCUAAGGUAGCAUAAUCAUUUGUCUUUUAAUUAAAGGCUAGAAUGAAUGGUUGGACGAGAUGCAAGCUUUCUUUAAUUUAUUUAAUGAACUUAAUUUUUUAGUUAAAAAGCUAAAAUUUAUUUGAGGGACGAGAAGACCCUAUAGAUCUUUAUAUUUAUAACUUUUAUUUAUUUUAGAGUAAUUAGUUAUUUUAAUAGUUAUAUUUAUUUGGUUGGGGUGACUAUAGAAUUUAAAAUAACUUCUAUUUUGUUUUUUCAUUAAUUAGUGUUAUAUUGAUCCAAUUUUAUUGAUUAAAAGAUUAAGUUACCUUAGGGAUAACAGCGUAAUUUUUUCGGAGAGUUCUUAUCGAUGAAAGAGUUUGCGACCUCGAUGUUGGAUUAAAAUAAGUUUAGGGUGUAGCAGCUUUAUAACUAGGUCUGUUCGACCUUUAAUAUUUUACAUGAUCUGA